UGCAUAGCUCAGCUGGUUAGAGCGUGGUGCUGAGAACGCCAAAGUCGUGAGUUCGAUCCCCGUAUGGGACAA